rnacentral:lncRNA from 1 species
GCAGCACAGGUACGUGGGCGGGCGGAUCGUGGUGGCUGCGCUUGCGAGGACCCUGAGGUAGAUUGGGUGGUUUCAACAGGAACGCAUCCACUGUCUGAGAGUUUAAACUUGAUUUUGUGAGGGGACGAACAGCGUGACAAUUAAAAGAAGAUCUGGGAAUCAAAAGCUUCCUGAGGCCUUCACCAGAAGCAGAUGCUGGUGCCGUGCUUCUACAGCCUGCAGAACUGAAGGACUUUACAGCUUCUCUUUCGCAUAUCCAAAUUGCCAGCAUCACCGCUCUUGCACUCCAAGCCAUUAUUAAGUAAAGUAAAGAACACAAACACUGUGAUACUGCUACACUUGAUCUGAUAACCAAGAAGUCUACUAAGUGACUAACAGCAGAGCAACUGGGAACCUAAUUCUGACCAAAAAGGAGGAAUUGUUUGGCUAAUUGGAAGUGACAGAAACCUUGGGAGAAAGCAACCGCAUACCAAGGAUAAUUAUAAGAAGAAGAGAAGACAUGGAGAAGAGGAGGGAGUAGUUGUGACCGUGGAGGCAGAGAAUGGAGUAAUGUGAUCAUAAAUCAAGGAAUGCUGACAGCCACUAAAGCUGGAGAAGGCCAAGGACAGAUAUUCAAUCCUCCCGUAGAAGUACAGCCCUGCUAAUGCAUUGAUUUUGGACUUCUGGCCUCAGAACUAUUUAUAUAUCAGCUUUUUAUCAGUUGAAAUAAACCACCCUGGGCCGGGUGCAGUGGCUCACACCUGUAAUCCCAGCACUUUGGGAGGCCGAGGCAGGUAGAUCAUUUGAGGUCAGGAGUUCAAGGCCAGCCUGACCAACAUGGUGAAACCGCAUCUCUACUAAAAAAUACAAAAAUUAGCCCGGUGUUGUGGCAGGCGCUUGCAAUCCCAGCUACUCAGGAGGCUGAGGCACAAGAAUUCCUUGAACCUGGGAGGUGGAGGUUGCAGUGAGUCGAAACCAAGCCACUGCCCUCCAGUCUGGGCAACAGAUUGAGAGUCUGUCUCGAAAAAAAUAAAUACAUAAAAUAAAUAAGCCACACUGUACUUGUGAAGAUUAACUGAGAUGUUUAAAACAUUAUUUGCAAAAAUGCAAGACAUGAUGUAAGUGUAAAGCAUUAUUAUAUAUCAACAUAAUUGACCAUUAGAAAAAUGCAAAUUAACACCUCAAUGAGAUAUAUCACCAGACACCUGUUAGAAUGGUUAAAAUAAAAAGUACUGAUGAUAUUAAGUGCUGAUAAAAUGCAGAGUAACUCGAUCUCUCAUACAUUGCUGAUGCUAAUGUAAAAUGAUAUCACCACUCUAGAAAACAGUUUGGCAGUUUCUUAUAAAGUUAAACAUGCACUUACUAUACAACCCAGUAAUACACCUACUGGAUAUUCAUUCUAGGGAGAUCAAAAUUUACACCCAAAAACAUGUACAUAAAUGUUCAUAUCAGCUUUAUUUACAAUAGCCCAAAAGGAAACAAUCAGAUGUCCUCCAAUUGAUAACUGGUAUAACCCUAUCACAGAAUCCUACUGAGCAAUAAAAAGGAAAGCACUGUUGAUACAUACAACAACUUGAGUGCAUUUCAAGGCUGUUAUGCUGACUGAAAUAAAAGCUAAUCUCAAAAGGUUAUGUAUUAUGUGAUUCUGUUUAUAUAACAUUCUCAAAUUGCAAAAUCACAGCAAUGAAGAACUGAUCAGUAGUGCCAGGGGUUAGGGUUGUGGGGAGGGUGUGAUGAUGAAUGGGCAGCGUAAGAGAAUUUCUUUGGAGUGAUGGAAUAGUUUUAUAUCUUGAUUAUAGUGAUCAUUAUAUUAAACAAUUGCAUGUGAUAAAAUUCUAUAGGACUGUAUGCCAAAAAUAACUUAAUAUGUUUAUUUUUAAGGUCUGGAAAGCAUGGAAAUUUGUAUCUUCAUUCACUUUUGUUUUCAUGGACUCUUUUCAUGUUUGAACUUUUCAUGGUAUGAGCUGUUUUAUAAUCUAUAAUAUGGAAUGUUUCUCAUACGAAUGUUUUUCUUAUUGAAGAAUGCCAUAGAAAUAAGGGUGUGAGGUAUACUUACUUGACAGGAGAAUUUUACUCCUUUUAUUUUAUUUACUUAUUUAUUUUUAAGACGGAGUCCUGCUGUGUUGUCCAGGCUGGUCUUGAACCCCUGGACUCAAACGAUCUUUCUCCUUGGCCUCCCAAAGUUCUGGGAUUACAGGUAUGAGCUACAGUGCCCUGAGAGUCCUUUUUAAAGUAGUGAAUGCUCAAACAUGGAAUUAAAUUUAGGCAAAGCUCACUUUUAUUUAUACAUAAAACAACUUCAGCCAUGUACCUCAUAACGAUAUUUUGGCCAAUGUCUGACCUUAUAUACAAUGGUUGUCCUGUACGAUUAUAAUGAAGCUGAAAAUUUUCUAUUGCCUAGUAACAUUGUAGUAAUUGUAAUGUAGCACAACCUAUCACACGUGUUUGUAGUGAUGCUGGUGUAAACAAACCGACUGCAUUGCCAGUCUAGUAUAAAAGUCUAGCACACACAAUUAUCCACAGUAUAUAAUAGUUGAUAAUGAUAAUAAACAACUGUCACUGGCUUAUAUAUUUGCUAUACUAUACUUUUUAUCAUUAUUUUAGAGUAUAUUUAGAGUAUAUUAAGCAGCCUUAGGCAGGUCUUUCAGGAGGCAUUCCAGAAGAAGGCAUUGUUAUCAUAGGAGGUGACAGCUCCCUGUGUGUUGUUGCCCCUGAAGAACUUCCAGUGGGACAAGAUAUGGUGGUGAAAGACAGUGAUAUUGAUGAUCUUGACCCUGUGUAGGCUUAGGCUCAUGUGUUUGUGUCUUCAUUCUUUUUUUUUUUUUGAGAUGGGGUCUCGCACUGUUGCCCAGGCUGGAGUGCAGUGGCGCGACCUUGGCUCACUGCAAGCUCCGCCUCCUGGGUUGAUGCCAUUCUCCUGCCUCAGCCUCCCAAGUAGCUGGGACUACAGGUGCCCACCACUACGCCUGACUAAUUUUUUGUACUUUUAGUAGAGACGGGGUUUCACCAUGUUAGCCAGGAUGGUCUUGAUCUCCUGACCUCGUGAUCCGCCCGCCUCGGCCUCCCAAAGUGCUGGGAUUACAGUAUUUAAGACAUUUUUAUAAAUUAAAAAUUUUUUAAAUAGAAAAAAGCCUAUAGCAUAAGGAUAUAAAGAAAAAGUAUUUUUAUGCAGCUGCACAAUGUAUUUGUGUUUUAAACUGUGUUAUUAUGCAAGAGUUACAGAGUUUUUAAAAAUAAAAAGUUUAUAAAGUAAAAAACUUACAACACAUCAAAAGAUAAUACACCAUGAUCAAGUGGGCUUU